GUAGCAAUACAUGCUGACGAGCGGCGAACGGGUGAGUAAUGCUUUGGAAUCUUCCCAGUAGUGGGGAAUAACCAGUCGAAAGAUUGGCUAAUACCGCAUACGUCUGUAAAGGGAAAGCGGGGGCUCGUAAGACCUCGCGCUAUUGGAUGAGCCAAAGUCGGAUUAGCUAGUUGGUGGGGUAAUGGCCUACCAAGGCGACAAUCCGUAGCUGGUCUGAGAGGACGACCAGCCACACCGGAACUGAGACACGGUCCGGACUCCUACGGGAGGCAGCAGUGGGGAAUAUUGGACAAUGGGGGAAACCCUGAUCCUGCGACGCCGCGUGUGUGAAGAAGGCCUGCGGGUUGUAAAGCACUUUUAGUGGGGACAAAAAGCUACGGAUUAAUACUCUGUGGUCUUGA
rnacentral:rRNA from 1 species